CGUCGUUUGCGACGCCCAACACACAAAACAAGCGGUGAGUGCUUUGGGGUGGGGUGACUGCGUACCUUUUGUAUAAUGGGUCAGCGACUUAUAUUCUGUAGCAAGGUUAACCGAAUAGGGGAGCCGGAGGGAAACCGAGUCUUAAUUGGGCGUUAAGUUGCAGGGUAUAGACCCGAAACCCGGUGAUCUAGCCAUGGGCAGGUUGAAGGUUGGGUAACACUAACUGGAGGACCGAACCGACUAAUGUUGAAAAAUUAGCGGAUGACCUGUGGCUGGGGGUGAAAGGCCAAUCAAACCGGGAGAUAGCUGGUUCUCCCCGAAAGCUAUUUAGGUAGCGCCUCGUGAAUUCAUCUCCGGGGGUAGAGCACUGUUUCGGCUAGGGGGCCAUCCCGGCUUACCAACCCGAUGCAAACUGCGAAUACCGGAGAAUGUUAUCACGGGAGACACACGGCGGGUGCUAACGUCCGUCGUGAAGAGGGAAACAACCCAGACCGCCAGCUAAGGUCCCAAAGUCAUGGUUAAGUGGGAAACGAUGUGGGAAGGCCCAGACAGCCAGGAUGUUGGCUUAGAAGCAGCCAUCAUUUAAAGAAAGCGUAAUAGCUCACUGGUCGAGUCGGCCUGCGCGGAAGAUGUAACGGGGCUAAACCAU
rnacentral:rRNA from 1 species